CCAACACAUGCUUUAUUUUGCACUGUAAACUAACCUUUUUAUUGCGACAGGUUCCUUUUAAAUGAUCCAGUGUAAUAACUACUGCUUGUGUCUUCUAUGUCUCACAUUAUGUGUUAUUUUUAAAUUGUGGUAUAUAGCCUGAAUCAGACAUCAUGGACAAAAGGUUUUUACCUGUGUUACUAAGGGCUCUUGGAGACUGACCGGUCUAAAGGUUUGC
rnacentral:lncRNA from 1 species